UCGAAACACAUCAGCACGCUAAAGAUAACCAUGUGGCUGAGGAUCGGCAGUGUGUAAAUGUCGUCGAGUUUAGCGCUGAAUUCGAUCAACGAUUGAUGUUUUCGGAUGCAUUUUUUCAACAUUACGUAGCAUUUGUUCGAGUACUCGACGAUAUCUGUUCGUUCGUCGAUGUUCGACCAUAGAUUCACUAACGUGUUCUGCAGCAUACGAAAUUGGUAGACCACGUGUAGAUUUAGCACGCAUAAGAAGUUGUCGGGGCAUAUAUAGCUCGCGCCAAUUUGUUGUACGGCCAGUAACUGUUAAGUUUAAGUGGCAGGAAUAUUUGAUAUAACUGGACAAGCGAUU
rnacentral:misc_RNA from 1 species